UGGGGAAUAUUGCACAAUGGGCGCAAGCCUGAUGCAGCCAUGCCGCGUGUGUGAAGAAGGCCUUCGGGUUGUAAAGCACUUUCAGCGAGGAGGAAGGGUAGUGUGUUAAUAGCACAUUGCAUUGACGUUACUCGCAGAAGAAGCACCGGCUAACUCCGUGCCAGCAGCCGCGGUAAUACGGAGGGUGCAAGCGUUAAUAGGAAUUACUGGGCGUAAAGCGCACGCAGGCGGUUUGUUAAGUCAGAUGUGAAAUCCCCGCGCUUAACGUGGGAACUGCAUUUGAAACUGGCAAGCUAGAGUCUUGUAGAGGGGGGUAGAAUUCCAGGUGUAGCGGUGAAAUGCGUAGAGAUCUGGAGGAAUACCGGUGGCGAAGGCGGCCCCCUGGACAAAGACUGACGCUCAGGUGCGAAAGCGUGGGGAGCAAACA
rnacentral:rRNA from 1 species